GACGAACGCUGGCGGCGUGCUUAACACAUGCAAGUCGAACGGACAGGCCCUGCUUUUGUGGGGUGCUCGAGUGGCGAACGGGUGAGUAACACGUGAGUAACAUGCACUUGACUUUGGGAUAACUUCAGGAAAAUGGGGAUAAUACCGGAUAGGAGCUCCUGCUGCAUGGUGGGGGUUGGAAAGUUUCGGCGGUUGGGGAUGGACUCGCGGCUUAUCAGCUUGUUGGUGGGGUAGUGGCUUACCAAGGCUUUGACGGGUAGCCGGCCUGAGAGGGUGACCGGCCACAUUGGGACUAAGGUACGGCCCAGACGCCUACGGGACGCAGCAGUGGGGAAUAUUGCAGAAUGGGCGGGAGCCUGAGGCAGCAACGCCGCGUGCGGGAUGACGGCCUACGGGGUGUAAACCGCUUUCGCCUGUGACGAAGCGUGAGUGACGGUAAUGGGUAAGGAAGCACCGGCUAACUACGUG
rnacentral:rRNA from 1 species